GAUGAACGCUGGCGGCGUGCCUAACACAUGCAAGUCGAGCGAACAGACGAGGAGCUUGCUCCUCUGUCGUUAGCGACGGACGGGCGAGUAACACGUGGAUAACCUUCCUAUUUUACUGGGAUAACAACGCGAAGCCUGUGCCAAUACCAGAUAAUACAUUUAACCGCAGGGCUCAGUUGAUCAAGUCGCUUUUGCUGUCUCUUAUAGCUGGUUCCGCCCCGCAUCAGCUAUUUGGUAAGGUCACAGCUUACCAAGGCGACGUUGCGUAGCCGACCUGAGAGGAUGAUCAGCCCCACCAGAACUGAGACACGGUCCAGACUCCUACGGGAGGCAGCAGUAGGGAAUCUUCUGCAGUGGGCGGAAGCCUGACCGAGCAACGCCGCGUGAGUGAUGCAGGGCUUCGGAUUGUAAAUCCCUUUUAUUAGGAAAGAAAAACCGUGUAAGUAAACACACACGUCUUGACGGUACCGAAUCAAAAAGCCCCGGCUAACUACGUG
rnacentral:rRNA from 1 species